CAAUCUGAAGGGUGGAAGCAGGAAUGGCACGAUUAGCGAGACCUGGCCAGGUUUUAUGCACCAACAAAUUGAAGGCAAAAGAGAAGGGAGAGAAUUCCCCAGGUGCUCAAAGCAUAGAAUCAAUGUCAAAGAGAAGAAGAUGGCCAUGCUACUUUCAUCAGUAAAAGACGGUGAGCAAUCAUGCAACAUCAUGAUCAGGAGGACAUGUUUCCCCAACAAACAAUGCCCAUCACCACCGUGAUUCAUCCUCGUCUCUUCCAGAAGGAUUCAGUGUCCAUCUGCUAAAGGGGAAAAGCAAGGAGAAUGCUGUGUUUGUCUAUUAGGAA